GAUGAACGCUGGCGGCGUGCCUAAUACAUGCAAGUCGAGCGAAGCGGGGACGGGUGAGUAACACGUGGGUAACCUCCUAUAAGACUGGGAUAACUUAGGGAAACCGGAGGCAAAACGGAAACUUAUAGCUGGAUCCGCGAUGCAUUAGGUAGUUGGUAAGGUAACGGCUUACCAAGGCAACGAUGCAUAGCCGACCUGAGCGUGUGAUCGGCCACACGGGAACUGAGACACGUUCCAGACUCCGACGGUAGGCAGCAGUAGGGAAUCUUCCGCAAUGGGCGAAAGCCUGACGCAGCAACGCCGCGUGAGUGAUGAAGGUCUUCGGAUCUUAAAACUCUGUUAUUAGGGAGGCGGUACCUAAUCAGAAAGCACCGGCUAACUCCGUGCCAGCCGCCGCGGUAAUUC
rnacentral:rRNA from 1 species